AUACGUAGGGGGCAAGCGUUAUCCGGAAUCACUGGGCGUAAAGGGUGCGUAGGCGGCCAAUCAAGCCAGGGGUGAAAGGCUACGGCUCAACCGUAGUAAGCCCUUGGAACUGAAUGGCUUGAGUGCAGGAGAGGAGAGUGGAAUUCCUAGUGUAGCGGUGAAAUGCGUAGAUAUUAGGAGGAACACCAGUGGCGAAGGCGACUCUCUGGACUGCAACUGACGCUGAGGCACGAAAGCGUGGGGAGCAAACAGGAUUAGAUACCCUGGUAGUCCACGCCGUAAACGAUGAGUGCUAGGUGUCGGGGGUUCACACCCUCGGUGCCGGAGUUAACGCAUUAAGCACUCCGCCUGGGGAGUACGGUCGCAAGACUGAA
rnacentral:rRNA from 1 species